CACGUAGGGGGCGAGCGUUGUCCGGAUUUAUUGGGCGUAAAGAGCUCGUAGGCGGCUAAGUAAGUCAGGUGUGAAAACUCCAGGCUCAACCUGGAGACGCCACCUGAUACUGCUUUGGCUAGAGUCCGGUAGGGGAGCAUGGAAUUCCUGGUGUAGCGGUGAAAUGCGUAGAGAUGCGGAGGAACACCGAUGGCGAAGGCAGCCCCCUGGGCUAACACUGACGCUCAGGCACGAAAGCGUGGGGAGCAAACAGG
rnacentral:rRNA from 1 species